ensembl:lncRNA
AUGAUUAAAAUGCCAUGUCAAUAUGAAUAUGAGGCUCAAGGAAGUAUCCAGCAGUUGUCCCUACAGUGGAGAAGCCCCAGGAACCAGCUGCUCUGUCACCUGAUCAAGCACAAAACGUACAGCAACUGCACAGCUGGAUAUUCAGUGCACUACAGCCCAGGGAAUAUUACUCUCAUCAUCGCUGAGGUGAAGCAGGAGGAUUUUGGGAGGCAUGUGUGUUCUGUGAGCAAGCUUCAUGAAUUCUCAGACUUCAGCAUCGACUUAAACCAGAAGGAAGAUCUCUCUACUGAAUUACCAAAAGGCAAGGUAGAUCAGUCAGGUUCUGCAAAGGAUCAUUUCUUCCUUCUUGGCUGCAGUCUUUUUGUGUCCAUUUUUGGGUAAUAAAACAAGAAUAAUGUUCAUCAUCACUUUUUUCACACUGAGAUAGGGGAUGCCUGGGAUUUAUACAGAAUAAAAAGUCAGUGUUUUAUAAUUGGGUUUUUUGUUUGUUUGUUUUUUUAUUAAAGUACCACUGGAUGGCAGUAUACUCAAAAAUAUAACAAUACACCAUUUUUAAGCUAUAAAGUCUACAAUACUUGAUGGUUAAUGUUAAAAUAAC